rnacentral:snRNA from 1 species
AUGAAGGUUUUAAAAGGCAAC